CCUACGGGAGGCAGCAGUGGGGAAUAUUGCACAAUGGGGGAAACCCUGAUGCAGCGACGCCGCGUGAGUGAAGAAGUAUUUCGGUACGUAAAGCUCUAUCAGCAGGGAAGAACAUGACGGUACCUGAUUGAGAAGCCCCGGCGAACUACGUGCCAGCAGCCGCGGUAAUACGUAGGGGGCAAGCGUUGGCCGGAUUCACUGGGUGAAAAGUGAGCGGAGACGGGGAGACAAGACUGGAGUGAAAGCCCCGGGCCCAACCCCGGGAGUGCACUGGAAACUGACUGACUGGAGUACAGGAGAGGUGAGUGGAAUUCCAAGUGUAGCGGUGAAAUGCGUAGAUAUUAGGAGGAACACCAGUGGCGAAGGCGGCUUACUGGACUGUAACUGACGUUGAGGCUCGAAAGCGUGGGGAGCAAACAGGAUUAGAUACCCCUGUAGUC
rnacentral:rRNA from 1 species